CCAAUAAUUUCUCCCAGGCGGCCUCCUGAGAUUGGCAGUCUUAUAUCUGAGAUUUGGGAGGGCAUUCGUAAUUUCCAAUCAUCUUCCUCACUGGCAGCACAUGAGUCCUGAAUUUGUAGCUUAAAUGAAAGUUCUCUGCAUUUUAUGCUUUGGCUCUAGAGUUCCCUCCCCAUCACACUAGCCGGGGGCAGUGUUACAUCCACAGCUCCCACAGUCCCUCUAGGAUGCCCAGCCGUCUCCUUCAGCCUCAGCGCCUGUGUCUCUCUCAUGACUUAGCUCAGCAUCACAGCCGAGUGGCGGGGCUGUGGCCCGCUGGGCUGGCUUUCUUGGUUCCUUGGGUCUAGCCAGGAGCCCAGGGGGAGAAGCAGUGGAAGGAUAUGACUUUGUUCUUUCUGCUCCUGCCUCCCUGCCUAAUAUCAUGCUGAUGAGCAUGUGAUGCUCUGAUCUGGCUGCUUUUUCUUCCUGAAAAUCCAGUCCCACCCUCCCCAGUGCCAAAAGCUUGGUAAAGAGAGGGCCAGGCCAAGCCUUGUACAUGAUGACAGUAAACAAAAGUAGCCCUGAGAUCCUGGCCUAAAAAGGACCAGUUAAGAGGUGGUGAGGGAGUUCCCUGGUGGCCUCGUGGUUAAGGUCACUGCUGGGGAAUAAGAUUGUGUUUGAGCCCCGGCCUGGGGACCUCUGCCUGCCCUGGGGGCAGCUAAAAAAAAAAAGCGGGGACAAAAGAGAUCCUAGGUGGUGAGUCUGUGCUGGGAAAGGCGCGCAGGACACGCGUGAGGAGCAGCGAUCUGAGCCAGGCGCUUUCCAGGCGUUAGCUCUUCCCACUGCACCUCUGAGAGGGUAAAUAAUGUCCCCAGGCCCCGCAGCUGUGGUCUGCUGGUCUGACUUCUGUGCCCAGCUCGUCCACCAAACCCUGUUCUCCCAGGGGCAAAGGUGUGUGCUCCUGGGAGCGGGGACACGGUGCUCACACACCUUCUAGAGGAGAAGCCUGGCUGCCUUGGGUCAACCCCCCUCAGCACUCAAAUAAUGGCAACCUUGUAAUAAUCUCUGAGGUGGCAGAAAUGGCACCAGUCCGUUUUGCAUCUGGAAGGGCUCAGGGCUGCCAUGAUCACUGGCGCGGGUUCCAGGCUCUGUGGCGCCCGCUGUGGACCCCGGAUGGCCUGAAUCCGAUCGCCAUGUGGAAAGAACAGGAGUCAUAG
rnacentral:lncRNA from 1 species